CACUCCUGGGGAGAGUGAAAGACAACCAUACUGUACAACAACCUGACAGAAGGUUAUGGACACAACACUCCUGGGGAGAGUGAAAGACAACCAUACUGUACAACAACCUGACAGAAGGUUAUGGACACAACACUCCUGGGGAGAGUGAAAGACAACCAUACUGUACAACAACCUGACAGAAGGUUAUGGACAUAACACUCCUGGGGAGAGUGAAAGACAACCAUACUGUACAACAACCUGACAGAAGGUUAUGGACAUAACACUCCUGGGGAGAGUGAAAGACAACCAUACUGUACAACAACCUGACAGAAGGUUAUGGACAUAACACUCCUGGGGAGAGUGAAAGACAACCAUACUGUACAACAACCUGACAGAAGGUUAAGGACAUAACACUCCUGGGGAGAGUGAAAGACAACCAUACUGUACAACAACCUGACAGAAGGUUAUGGACAUAACACUCCUGGGGAGAGUGAAAGACAACCAUACUGUACAACAACCUGACAGAAGGUUAAGGACAUAACACUCCUGGGGAGAGUGAAAGACAACCAUACUGUACAACAACCUGACAGAAGGUUAUGGACAUAACACUCCUGGGGAGAGUGAAAGACAACCAUACUGUACAACAACCUGACAGAAGGUUAUGGACAUAACACUCCUGGGGAGAGUGAAAGACAACCAUACUGUACAACAACCUGACAGAAGGUUAUGGACACAACACUCCUGGGGAGAGUGAAAGACAACCAUACUGUACAACAACCUGACAGAAGGUUAUGGACACAACACUCCUGGGGAGAGUGAAAGACAACCAUACUGUACAACAACCUGACAGAAGGUUAUGGACAUAACACUCCUGGGGAGAGUGAAAGACAACCAUACUGUACAACAACCUGACAGAAGGUUAAGGACAUAACACUCCUGGGGAGAGUGAAAGACAACCAUACUGUACAACAACCUGACAGAAGGUUAUGGACAUAACACUCCUGGGGAGAGUGAAAGACAACCAUACUGUACAACAACCUGACAGAAGGUUAUGGACAUAACACUCCUGGGGAGAGUGAAAGACAACCAUACUGUACAACAACCUGACAGAAGGUUAUGGACAUAACACUCCUGGGGAGAGUGAAAGACAACCAUACUGUACAACAACCUGACAGAAGGUUAUGGACAUAACACUCCUGGGGAGAGUGAAAGACAACCAUACUGUACAACAACCUGACAGAAGGUUAUGGACAUAACACUCCUGGGGAGAGUGAAAGACAACCAUACUGUACAACAACCUGACAGAAGGUUAUGGACAUAACACUCCUGGGGAGAGUGAAAGACAACCAUACUGUACAACAACCUGACAGAAGGUUAAGGACAUAACACUCCUGGGGAGAGUGAAAGACAACCAUACUGUACAACAACCUGACAGAAGGUUAUGGACAUAACACUCCUGGGGAGAGUGAAAGACAACCAUACUGUACAACAACCUGACAGAAGGUUAAGGACAUAACACUCCUGGGGAGAGUGAAAGACAACCAUACUGUACAACAACCUGACAGAAGGUUAUGGACAUAACACUCCUGGGGAGAGUGAAAGACAACCAUACUGUACAACAACCUGACAGAAGGUUAUGGACAUAACACUCCUGGGGAGAGUGAAAGACAACCAUACUGUACAACAACCUGACAGAAGGUUAUGGACAUAACACUCCUGGGGAGAGUGAAAGACAACCAUACUGUACAACAACCUGACAGAAGGUUAUGGACAUAACACUCCUGGGGAGAGUGAAAGACAACCAUACUGUACAACAACCUGACAGAAGGUUAUGGACAUAACACUCCUGGGGAGAGUGAAAGACAACCAUACUGUACAACAACCUGACAGAAGGUUAAGGACAUAACACUCCUGGGGAGAGUGAAAGACAACCAUACUGUACAACAACCUGACAGAAGGUUAUGGACACAACACUCCUGGGGAGAGUGAAAGACAACCAUACUGUACAACAACCUGACAGAAGGUUAUGGACAUAACACUCCUGGGGAGAGUGAAAGACAACCAUACUGUACAACAACCUGACAGAAGGUUAAGGACAUAACACUCCUGGGGAGAGUGAAAGACAACCAUACUGUACAACAACCUGACAGAAGGUUAUGGACACAACACUCCUGGGGAGAGUGAAAGACAACCAUACUGUACAACAACCUGACAGAAGGUUAUGGACAUAACACUCCUGGGGAGAGUGAAAGACAACCAUACUGUACAACAACCUGACAGAAGGUUAAGGACAUAACACUCCUGGGGAGAGUGAAAGACAACCAUACUGUACAACAACCUGACAGAAGGUUAUGGACACAACACUCCUGGAGAGAGUGAAAGACAACCAUACUGUACAACAACCUGACAGAAGGUUAUGGACACAACACUCCUGGAGAGAGUGAAAGACAACCAUACUGUACAACAACCUGACAGAAGGUUAAGGACAUAACACUCCUGGGGAGAGUGAAAGACAACCAUACUGUACAACAACCUGACAAUAAAAAACGAAACAUGAGGCUACCUACC